rnacentral:rRNA from 1 species
CCCUAUGGGGUGCACCAGGCGUACCGGGAGGCGAUACGGGAAGGCUAUUAUUUCUACAGUUAUGGCGAUGCCAUGCUGGUGAUCUGAAAGGGAAGGGAAGAUGUCGGCAUUUACCUUGUUGCAUAAAGAGAAGAAUACUUCUGCCCGUCUGGGCAGGCUGGUUACCGCGCACGGUGAGAUAGAGACUCCCUGUUUCAUGCCGGUGGGAACCCAGGGGACGGUCAAGGCGCUUACCCCGCGUGACCUGGAGGAGGGACGGGCGCAGAUCAUCCUUUCCAAUGCCUACCAUCUGUUCCUGCGUCCGGGCAUGGAGAUCAUCAAAAAGGCGGGGGAGC